CAGACUCUGGGCGGGCGGUGGGGACGGGACCGUGGACAGGCGCGGGGCUCAGGGACAACUCCUCUCUCACUGCUGCGCUUGCGCGCACCCCUCCUUCCCCCCGCCCCCAGCCCCCCCCCUCCCUCAGCCCCGGCAGAGUACGGCUGCGCCUGCGCGCGCCUCUCAGUGGUCGGCCCUGGGAGGAGCGCUCGCGUCCGUUUCGCAGAUGCAGAGGUUGAGUCCCGGGUGGGCCCUGCGGUCCCGGGAGGGCGGUGCCCAGGUGCCAGCUCCCCUCCCCAGCCUCAGCUCGGGUGACUGCAGUGACCCACGCAGCCCCAUGCGCGCCCGAGGAGCCGACCUGAAGAAGCAAGACCCAAGAUCAAAUAAAGCUGGCGUCUAGUAGCACGGGCGGAGCCGGGAGCCAAGCUGGGCAGGGAACAGCGCUCCCCCGAGGUUACUGAAUUUACCUUCCUCCUGAUUCUGUUCUCCUGGUUUGGUGCCCCCCCUCCCUUGGGAAAAGGAGGCAUCUUCAGGCCAGACAGGUGGACAGCGUUUGUG